UGCAUGCCCGGCUGCCGUUGCUGCCCCUGCCUCGUACAAACGUCAGAGAAGGCACAUGACACGCCCCUGGGGGCCAUCUGGCCCAAGUCCACCUGCGCGGCUGAGUGGAGGAUGCUAGGUUGCUGUGCUGUUUCUCCUACUGUCUUGCUGCCGCACCACCCCUCAGAAAAACCGGGUCGUCAGUUUCCUGCGGUUUGCACUCACCAAAUAUACUUAGCAAUUUGCAAUUCACCCGCAGGAUUAUUCCAGCCUCUGUGAUCACACACAGAAGGAUGAGCCUUCCUCGUGAGGGUUGGAGAUGGAGGGAGAAGGGAUGGAGAGUAAGGAUGGGACGGAGGUUGUGGAGCAGCAGACCAACACGCCAGAAAGGAAAAUAAUGAUCAUCUCAAUUUUUAUAUGUGGAGGCAUUGCUUUUCUUCUUUGGGGGAUUUUAAGAUUUCCCAGAAAAUUUGGAAUUCCAAGGCACCUUAGAAACAAGACAUGCCUAGAAAAUUUGACUAUGUGUCCACAAGGCUGGAACUGAAUCAAUAAUAAUUGCUUCUUUCAAUCUGAACAUGAAACAACGUGGAUCAAUGGCUGAGAAAACUGCAGAAGUUAUGGAUCUCUGGCCAGGCUCAACUCUCAGAAUGAAAUGGGAAUCUUUGAUGCAUUAUCUGGGGCCGUCUUUAUAUUGGUUUGAACUGAGCAAGCACAAUGCAAACAAAACGUGGAUGUGGGCAGAUGGAGCUACAUUCAGCAAUUGGGUCCUGAGGUAAAAUUUGGAGAAAGAUAGGAGGAGAGCAACAGCUUGUUUCACUUCCUCUACUCCUUCCACACUGCACGUGUUUUAGAAACCGGGCUAAUGAAAUUUACGUUCUAUUUUCGAGGCUGUGCUCAGUUAUUUCUCAGGAGGUCCAGUAAAUAAAGAAUUAAUCUAUUUGUUUUGUCUUUAGUCAAGUUAUGAAACUAGCGAAUUAUUUACAUUAAGUGGAUUUGUUGUUGCUGUCGUUGCUGAAACUAGUGAAAGAAUCGAGUUUUGUGCUAUGAGUCAUGGGAGCAAAACGUGAGUAUUUAGAAGUGGAGAGGACCACGAAGAAGGAAGCCCUGGUGACUUGAAGAAAUCAUGGAGAGUUCUCCGGAUUCCCACAAACCUAUGGGGUUUAGAUUCCAGCUAAUACUUACACGGGUCUCAGAAGGACAGAGGGCAAGGGUUAACAUCUGGCUGAUAUUAAAGUCUCUGCACCUCUUAAUAUUUU
rnacentral:lncRNA from 1 species